rnacentral:rRNA from 1 species
UACGUAGGGGGCAAGCGUUGUCCGGAAUCAUUGGGCGUAAAGCGCGUGUAGGCGGCCAGGUAGGUCGGUUGUGAAAACUGGAGGCUCAACCUCCAGACGUCGACCGAAACCAUCUGGCUAGAGUCCGGAAGAGGAGAGUGGAAUUCCUGGUGUAGCGGUGAAAUGCGCAGAUAUCAGGAAGAACACCGAUGGCGAAGGCAGCUCUCUGGGACGGUACUGACGCUGAGACGCGAAAGCGUGGGGAUCAAACAGG